CAGUGCCGCGGUAAUACAGAGGGUGCGAGCGUUAAUCGGAUUUACUGGGCGUAAAGCGUGCGUAGGCGGCUUUUUAAGUCGGAUGUGAAAUCCCUGAGCUUAACUUAGGAAUUGCAUUCGAUACUGGGAAGCUAGAGUAUGGGAGAGGAUGGUAGAAUUCCAGGUGUAGCGGUGAAAUGCGUAGAGAUCUGGAGGAAUACCGAUGGCGAAGGCAGCCAUCUGGCCUAAUACUGACGCUGAGGUACGAAAGCAUGGGGAGCAAACAGGAUUAGAUACCCCCGUAGUCCCUGUCUCUUAUACA
rnacentral:rRNA from 1 species